CCAAAACCCAUGGAGGUAGCCCCAAAACCCAUGGAGGUAGCCCCAAAACCAAUGGAAUUGGCCCCAAAACCCAUGGAAGUGGCCCCAAAACUCAAGGAAGUACCCCCAAACCCACAGAAUUAGCCCCAAACCCACAGAAUUAGCCCCAAACUACAUGGAAGUAGGCCCCAAACCCAUGGAUGUAGGCCCAUAACCCGUGGAAAUAGCCCUAAAACCCAUGGGAGUAGCCCCAAAACCCAUGGAGGUAGCCCAAAACCCCACAAAAAUACCCCCAAACCUGUGGAAGUA